rnacentral:rRNA from 1 species
GACGGAGGGGGCUAGCGUUGUUCGGAAUGACUGGGCGUAAAGGGCGUGUAGGCUGUCAAUCAAGUCAGGCGUGAAAGCCUUGGGCUUAACCUGAGAACUGCGUUUGAUACUGAUUGACUUGAGGACGGGAGAGGAAAGCGGAAUUCCGAGUGUAGAGGUGAAAUUCGUAGAUAUUCGGAGGAACAUCAGAGGCGAAGGCGGCUUUCUGGCCCGUAUCUGACGCUGAGGCGAGAAAGCGUGGGUAGCAAACAGG